AAGCAAGAGGCUGCUAUCCGAGAUCAAGUCUGAAGAUCUGAGGAUAGAUCUUCUCAAAGAAGGAGGAGAUGAUGGACACCAUCCAGCCACAACCAUCCCCUAGCCAUGAAGAAGAAGAAGCAAUGGAUUUGAGGACAAAUCCUUUUCAAGAGGGAGGGGAUGAUGGAAGAGGCCCAAGCACAAGCCCACAUGCAAGCCCACCAAAGGGUAGAUUUGGGCCAACCAUAGAGUUAUGGCCAAGAGGAUCCAAGAAGACGUUCUUUUACAUGUUC
rnacentral:lncRNA from 1 species